rnacentral:rRNA from 1 species
UUGACGGGGCCGCACAAGCGGUGGAGCAUGUGGUUUAAUUCGACGCAACGCGAAGAACCUUACCAGGGCUUGACAUCCCCUGACCGCGUAUGAAAGUACGUUUUCACCCUCGGGUGACAGGGAGACAGGUGGUGCAUGGGUUGUCGUCAGCUCGUGUCGUGAGAUGUUGGGUUAAGUCCCGCAACGAGCGCAACCCCUACGUUUAGUUGCUAACGCGUGAAGGCGAGCACUCUAGACGAACUGCCGUUGACAAAACGGAGGAAGGUGGGGAUGACGUCAAAUCAUCAUGCCCCUUAUGUUCUGGGCUACACACGUGCUACAAUGGCCGGUACAAAGGGCAGCCACUCAGCGAUGAGGCGCUAAUCCCAUAAAGCCGGUCUCAGUCCGGAUCGCAGUCUGCAACUCGACUGCGUGAAGUUGGAAUCGCUAGUAAUCGUAGAUCAGCAUGCUACGGUGAAUACGUUCCCGGGCCUU